UACGGGGGGGGGCAAGCGUUGUUCGGAAUUACUGGGCGUAAAGGGCUCGUAGGCGGCCUUCUAAGUCGAACGUGAAAUCCCCGGGCUCAACCCGGGAACUGCGUCCGAUACUGGAAGGCUUGAAUCCGGGAGAGGGAUGCGGAAUUCCAGGUGUAGCGGUGAAAUGCGUAGAUAUCUGGAGGAACACCGGUGGCGAAGGCGGCAUCCUGGACCGGCAUUGACGCUGAGGCGCGAAAGCCAGGGGAGCAAACGGG
rnacentral:rRNA from 1 species